GGCGGCCGACGUAUAAAAUGUCGCGUGUUUGUGUCGCCUAGCCAGAACUCGUGCAAGAUUUUUUCAAACAAGCUGCUUGCAAAAAAGAACAAAAACAAAAACAGAAAAAACGACAACACCAACACACACACAUAUAAAUACAUACGCACAUGCACACACUCACAAACGGACAGCACAAUACCAUUGCGGCGGCAUUACUGUUGUCUGUGUGUGUAUAAUUUUUUUUUUACUUUUUUUUUUGUUGCAAUAUUUUCUUUAUAAUAACUUGAGUUUCAUAUCACAAUCACCAUUUAUUCUGUCCCUCCAGCAGCAUCCUGCCUUCUCCCUCGUUUCGUAAAAGAACCGAAGAACAGAUGACAGUCCAAGAAAAAAAAAAAAAGAUAAAUAACAAGAAAUCAGAACACUAACAGACAUUUCUGUGUUGGUGUUGGACAACUUUUGGCAGG
rnacentral:lncRNA from 1 species